ACGGCUAAAACUUAAUAUUUCUCAAGUUCCAAAUUUUGUGUGCCGAGAGAGUAAGUGUUUUUGACUCAAGUCUUGGUCUGUAAUUAAAUUACUCGGCUUAUAAGAGUAAUACUUUUCUUGUGUUUGUAGAGUGCUUAGGUAAAGUUACCUGAGUUGAUACUGAUUAGAGUUAAUCAAUAUUGAGAAGAGAUCUUCACAGAGUUUUCAAGGAGAGUUUGUAAUAAAGUUGAUACAAAUUAGUGGAGUUUAGAGUUAAGUUUCAAUGGAGUCUGUAAUCAUGAGUUUGAUUAUAGUAAAUUCUUGAGUGCUUGUGAGGGCAAUUCGUGAUUUUUCCUUCCCUUGAGCAAGGAUGUUUCACGUUAAAUCAUUGUAUUCUUUACUUUCCUGCAAAGUUUUAUUUCCUUACUGUGUUACUGCUUUAUUACUUGUAUUUGACUCUAAGGGACCUAGUCCCUUAUAAGGUGGUGCACCCCCCACGUUUCAAUAAUUGAUAUCAGAACAAGGACACUCUAAAAGGUUCACACCUAGAGUGAUUUAUUAAUCAUGGAUGCUCCACCUAAUCUAAAAAAAUGGUAAUUUACUACUAGACCACCCUGCUUUAAUGGGAAGUACUAUGGGUGAUGAAAAACUAGGAUGUGUGACUUCAUUAUAGAUGAGGAUAGUAAGAUCAUGGAUGUAAGAAUUGAUGGUCCUCAUGUGCCAGUCUGAGAGGUCAAAGCAGGAGACAUAACAAAGAUGAUUGUCAAAUUUGGAGAGAGUUUGAUGAUGAAGAUCUAAAGAAAGUUGAGAAGAAUUACAAGGUAAACAAAUUGCUUGUUUGUGGCAUAGGGCCUGAUGAAUAUAAUAGAAUUUAUGCUUAUGAAAAUGCUAAGAAAAUCUGGGAUUGCUUGAGGAAUGCUCACGAAGGAACAACUGAUGUGAAGGAUUCAAAAGCUGAUAUGAUGACUACUCAAUAUGAAACGUUCACCAUAAAAGAAGAAGAAACUAACCAAGGUGAGAAAAAUUUUGAAAGUUUUUCGUAAAUCCUGGAAAAGCAAAGUAGAUAAUAUCACCGAGGCAAGAAAUCUGAAAACUCUCACAAUGGAUGAACUUAUUGGUAAUCUAAAAACUUAUGAACUCAAGAAGCAACAAGGGUAAGAGAAGAAGAAAUCAAAAAGAGAAAAAUCUUUGGCAUUGAAGGCUUUAAAAUCUGAUUCAAGUGAGAAGAAAACUGAUGUUGCCUAUUUGGUAAAAAAUAUUGUUAGAUCACUGAAGAAAAAUGAUCAGUUUCAAAGAUGAGGAAGUAGCAACAAAAAGGGAGGUACAGUUGAAGUUUGCCACAAAUGUGAAAAAUCUAGGUAUUUCAUCAAAGAUUGUCUAAUUCACAAACUAGAUUAUCAAGAAUAUCUAAAGUAUAGAGGUGACAGCGUAAAAAGAAAAAGGACCAUGUCCCUAAAAAGUCAAGAAGAAAGGUUGCAGCUGAUUAUGCAGUGAAACGAGUAUUAGUUGUCUGGGGAGAUUCCUCUAAUGAAUCUGAGAAGGAUGAAAAUUUUGAAGAUGUUUCUAUGCUAACAGUGAAGGAUGAGAAUGUCACCUUUGACUCCUUGUUUGAUCUUAUAGCAAACACUGAAUAUGAAGAAUAAAAUAAAGUAACUAUUUCUGAUAUUAAAGAAAAUUUAGAUAACUACUCUACUAGAACGAUAAAGAAUCUUGCAAAUAUGUUGAUUGAUUCUGGUUGAGAUGGUUGAGUUAUGUUAUAUUAUAUACUAACUAUAUAGAAAGGCCAUCAAGUCGACGACCAAAGGUAUUUAAGGUAAUUCGUAUUAAUUUUUUUUCUUUUUUUAUUAAUAUAUAAUGUGUUGGUUUCCAAAAAAAUCUAGGAUAUUUCAAGCUUUCUCUGCCACAUAUAAACUAAGAACCAACCAUCUGUAUUCCAUUAUUACUACAAAAAUGAAGUGAAAGACUUUUCUAGAAUACAGAAAUUUCUGCACUUGAAUUGUAUAAAUAAGAGCACCAUUUUACUUAUAAUCGGCUAUUUGUUCAAUCAUCCUCAACAAGCCGCAUAGGCUCUUCACUUAAGAAAUGGAAGCAUAAAAAAGGGGGAUUUUGAAUGCAUCAAGAAAAAGCAACAAUUCACUGCUUCAGGAAAUAGAAAAACUUAAUUUGAAGUAGACAAGCACCUGAGCUAGAACCCAUCCAACAAGUCAGUCAAUGUCACUUCUAUAAUUGGAGAUUACUAGAGCAGACUCUUUUACUGAAAUCAGUUAUUAACCAAGAAUAAGAUUACACAGGAAAAAUGAAGAUACAGACAACUUAUCUGGGGAAAGAAUUUAGGUAUCAAAGGUGAUGCAACUUUCUUAACCAUGAAUCGGUACGUUUGCUGAUUUGCUUAUAGCUCAACCUAGCCGGAAGCACAUAAUACUAUAGCUUACUCUUAAAACACGAUAGGAAUCUGUAACACCCCGUACUUAAUUACGUGCAUUAGCCAUUGUUAUAUGUGUUGGAGUAUAUGUAUUGAUCCUAAGUUAGGUAUAUAUGAGUUUAAGUAUGAGUAUUGAUUAUUUUGAGAUGG